GCGUCAAAAGAUUCUAGACAUUUUUACGCUUUAAUCCUUUAUUAAUUUAAAAACGUAGCAUAUAAUCGAACGGUAAACGUGAAGACUCUGAAGUGUCAAGCCCAGCACGACACGUCGACACCACCUCCGCCAGCGUCCAGGCUCCAGUGGCCCCUACGUCUUCGUCGAGAAUCUGGGAUCUUCUCCGUCUCCGACAACUCCUUCAUCUUCGUUGAGAUUUCGCCCCGCGGCUUCUUCAUCUUCGUUGAGAUCUUCGUCCAGCGGCUCCUUCAUCUCCGACGGCGGAAUCAGUUCUUCGAUCACUCUGGACGGCUGACAUUAGAUAAAAGUUCUUCGUUGUCGCUCGUCGGCCGGAUCUGUUACUUGCUAGACUCCAUCAGGCAGACUUCAGUUCUUCGUGCUUCUUGCUUGUUCUACUGAAUCAGGCUUUAAUAAGCUUAACGCCUAUUUAAGGCCUUUGAAACCUUAAAAGUAGGCCUAAUUAAUCAGGGACGCAAGGCAGAACCUUUUCCAGAAAUUAAAGCCAUGGCUUCGAAGCUGCUUUUGUUGAGACGGCUCUCAAGGUCUGUGAAGCCGUCGCUAGCAUUCCCUUCUUCAAAUUCCUACUCUUUGGUCUAUGGGUCUCGCCUUCUUCCUUUAAAGGCGUUCAAAUUCUGCUUUUCUUGGAGAAUAUCCAUCUGCCUCCUCCUUCAACCUCUUGUAGGAGCUAUUGCUCUCGCAGUUUGAGCGUUGAAGGCCCGGCUGCUAUUGAUUACCGUUCAUCUGUAGUCAGUUAACAGCAUCAACAUCAUGGUUAAGUUGCUUGGUUAAAUUUCAGUACCCAAUUGCCUAUGCUGCCACGGCUGUUAUUGAAUUGGUUUAUCUUUCUUAUUUUAUGCAAGAAGUUAUAUAAUUUACUAACUUAACAACAUUGGUGGCAUCCCUUUAUUAUAAUAGGGAAAUAAAUUUUUGUUAAUGAUUGAUGUGGAUGCAGUUCUAUACUGCAGGAGGAUGAAUUCCACAGACUGGCAAAUAAUGCAAUACAUGACCUGCAAGAGAAACUCGAGGUACCUCUAGCUGUUGUUUAAUCAUAACAUUGACAUCUACUACAAAUUUUUGAGUUGAUUUAUCCUAACAUCUUUUCUUAUACUUAUCUCUUUGGAAAAUAAGCUAUAGCUGUAACGGAAACAUGAUAUUUACACUUAGGCACUUAUCAUCUAAUUUUGCCUUGUUGAUUGCCAAGGCUAUGGAGAUUCUGUUGAAGUUGAUGGAUUUGAUAUAGACUAUGGGGUAAGGACAAUUGUCUGGACUCUUGAUAACAGAAAAAUGGAUAAUCAAUUAUUUAUUCAGAAAGACAAUACAAUUUUGAUAGAUUUUUAAACUACAAAUUGAUGUUGUUUUGCAGUAUUUGUAGCUAGUCAAAUUGUCAAGUUUACAAUUUGAUAACUGAAAUUAAAUUUUGUUAUUUGUUUUUCUAAAAUUAUAUUUCUUAAAGCCUUUUUUAUUAAUAAUUUUAUUGAGCCAAUUUUUAUUUAUAAUUGUUGGUGUUGGUCUUUUUGACAAUUUCCCUACUAGUUUCAAGAAGUGAAUUUCUUGUUUGGAGCAUGAACCAUUUGUUUUAAUAAGUCCUUGCAUUUUCCAGAGUGAUGUGUUGACAGUAAAACUGGGGGAUCUGGGCACCUAUGUAGUAAACAAACAAACACCAAAUAGACAAAUAUGGCUGUCUUCUCCGUCAGGUAUUCAUUCAUGCCUAUCGGUUGUCUUCUGUUCAGAAUGUUCUAUGCAGGGGUGCUAUUUUGUCUUGAAUAUUUGUAAUUUAGAUUACAUGCGAAUAGCUCAUUCUGUCUUGUGAAAAGCAUGCUAGCUGUGCGUUAUUUUACAUGCUGAGUUGUUCUGUUAUGGCUGAAUACCAAUAUUUGUGGAAUAAAUGCCAGAUUCUAUUAAAAGAUGGUCUUAGAAAGUUUGCAUAAAUUAUAAUGUGCAGGCUACAGCACUCUGGAAGCUGGAUAGCUUUCAACUUUGAAAUUGAUGCCCUUUGACUACUCAUUGGUCUUACUUUUUCAGUGUAGAAGAGGACGGAGGAGGAGUUCUAAUUGGUUUAAAAUCUCCUCUCUGCUAUUUUGGAAAUUUCCGGCGUAUAUGAUUUGAAAUAAGUAAACAAAGUGCAGCUUUUAUGAAAGAACCCAUUUACUCUUUUUUUUCCCCCUUAAGGAGAAAAUUUUUUCAUUUUCGUUUGCAAACUGAGGGCAGGGAUAUUUGAUGUUUGUGGUGAGUGGUAUGUCUUAUAAUUUUGAUGAGAUAGCUGCGGUUGUAGCCCCUGUAUGUGGAGAUUUGAAUACUUCAUCCGCCCUAGAACAUGCAUAGACAAACUUGUUCAUGCACUUUUGAAAGAGAUGGUGUCUUACAAUCAUCAUGUGUCCUUUUUCUUUUCUGGGAAUUACUUAAGUAUAGCACUAAGUUAGCUCUCAGUGACAUGGUGAUUGAUUAUAGUGAUUUAAAUUAUGUAGUUAUGUCUUAGAGGCCUUUGCUAUUCCCAUGUCUUCAGGCUUUAUUUCUAUCUGUUAAAAGUCUAAAUUUAAGUAUUAGACUGAGAAUCUUGAGAAAGCAUUUAAUGGUGGGAAAACUUAACCUAUGGCUCUCUGCUGAAUUACCUUUUACUGAAGUCAAGGUAUUUUGGUCCUCUACACAAUUGUCAGAUUCAUAUCAAGGAAAGUUUUAUUCUUAUCACGGGCAUAUUAUCUCUCUAAUAUAGCUAGUUUGGACUGGUGUGGGUUCUCAACUGAAAAAUGUGUUUUCUUGUCUACAUCAAAUAUAUUUUAAUCAUUUUAGCUUUUUCCAUAAAUGUUCCAUUAUCUCUUGGACGCUUGCGUAAUGGAUUUUAUCUCUGUUUGUCGUGGUCCAUCUAGGUUUGAUUGGGAUCUGGAAGGUAAAGCUUGGAUUUAUAGGCGGAACAAAGCAAAGUUGUACAAAGUCUUGGAAGAUGAAUUGGAGCAAUUGUGUGGCAAAUCCAUAGCUCUUUCCUAAGCUGUUGGGAAAGGUUACCUACAAUCCGAGUUCAUUUUUUAUAAAAAGAAAUUAUUGAUGAUCAAUUUUGAUGUUCAUGUGUACUUUUAGGCUCUCUUCUCGCCUUUACCUCUUUACUGGAUUGUAUCAAUUACACUGAUUUAUAUAAAUCGAUUGUGCCAUCUAAAUAAUAAUCUGUGUAAGAAAUCCAGGUCUAAA